GACGAACGCUGGCGGCGUGCUUAACACAUGCAAGUCGAACGGAAAGGCCCUGCUUUUGUGGGGCGCUCGAGUGGCGAACGGGUGAGUAACACGUGAGUAACCUGCCCUUGACUUUGGGAUAACUUCAGGAAACUGGGGCUAAUACCGGAUAGGAGCUCCUGCUGCAUGGUGGGGGUUGGAAAGUUUCGGCGGUUGGGGAUGGACUCGCGGCUUAUCAGCUUGUUGGUGGGGUAGUGGCUUACCAAGGCUUUGACGGGUAGCCGGCCUGAGAGGGUGACCGGCCACAUUGGGACUGAGAUACGGCCCAGACUCCUACGGGAGGCAGCAGUGGGGAAUAUUGCACCAUGGGCGGAAGCCUGAUGCAGCAACGCCGCGUGCGGGAUGACGGCCUUCGGGUUGUAAACCGCUUUCGCCUGUGACGAAGCGUGAGUGACGGUAAUGGGUAAAGAAGCACCGGCUAACUACGUG
rnacentral:rRNA from 1 species